GUUUGAAGUUAAAUUUUUUUCAUGACCCAUUUUAGGUUUCACUAUUGAAAAAAUUUUAGAAGCUAAGCAAGGUUGGGCCUGGUUAGUAUUUGGAUGGGAGACCACCUAGGAAUACUGGGUACUGUAGGCU
ensembl:rRNA 5S_rRNA 5S ribosomal RNA